rnacentral:piRNA from 1 species
GGCAUGGUGCCAGGCACUCAGUAAACAAC